rnacentral:lncRNA from 1 species
CCCAUCUCCGAUUCAUCUGACUCUGAUCCAUCCAGUCAUGAUCUCUACUAGAUCCUUGUAGUUAGUCUUGUCUUUAGUUUCUUUCUAGGAUCUAUCUUUUGAGCCAUGUAAUGAUGUUGACUGAUUGACUUUUAUAUUUUAGUAUAUAUAUUGGAACAACUAUAUGGUAUCAGUCACUUUUUGAUUAUAUAUAUAUCUACUCUUUGACUUUCAAUGAAUGACCUUCAAAUUGAGUUGCUUUUAAUUAUGUGC